UUUAAUUAAGUUGUACAUUAUUCUUCUAAUUGAGAAAUGACUAUUUUUUUAAUUGAGAAAUAAAUAUUUUUUUCUUUCAAAUCAUGGCUUUAAACCCGACCAGUUGAUCCCGAUGUUUUGUAUGACCAGUCCAUUCAUUGAUCAUCUAUUGUAUGGCGAGAUCGUAGUAUUGGAGAAAUAUCUUGCAGGCGUCGAGAGGCAGUUCUCCAGCCCAUUAUCCCACUCCACUCUUGAAUACUACAGCUACUGCGCACAUCUGGAUUCUAUGGGUUGUCAGAUUGGGAUUUAUUCAAUUGGACUGGCAUCUGAUCACAGCUUUGGUCGAGAGAUGAAGGCAUGAGACGCAUACAUUUCAUAUGUCUAUUGGAGAGUGCACUAUCACUCUACAAGACAUAAAAGUGUUGUUGGGGUUACCGGUUGACGGUGAGCUGGUCAUCGAGUGAUGUACGAUAACUGGUCACAAGUUUAUCAAGUACCUUGGUGUGACCCCACCUACCGAUAAAAUUAAAGGAUUGAGGUUAAGUUUAAUAUGGUUAGGAACACAAUUUCAUGAGCUCGUAGAUGAUGCAGACGAGAAAACUGUCAUAAGAUAUGCGUGAGCAUAUAUACUACAAAUGAUGGGUGGAAGUUUAUUUUCCGAUAAAUCAAGUCAUUUUGUUAUCAAGUCAUUUUGUUUACUUGAUGUUCCUGCCACUAUUAGCUAACCUCUAUGAUGCGGGGUGGUAUUCAUGGGGUGGAGUAUGUUUGGCAUGGUUGUAUAAACAACUAUGCAAAGCAACAAGACCUGAGGUUCGAGAGAUAGCUGGACCUCUCAUAUUUUUACAACUAUGGGCUUGUGAGCGAUUUCCAACAAUGGUUCCACAGCUACAAUAUGUUAAUGACGCUCAGUUAGCUGGACGAGUCUACUAUUCUCGGUAUGUUAUUUUAAUUCAAUUUAAUUUUUAUAUCACUAAUCUAGUUAAUUUAGAUUCUAAAUUAUCAAUUUAAAAAUUUAAGAGGAGAGACAAAUUUUGUGUGACUAGGACAGCCACACAUGUAGUCCGCCAGUACAGAUACAUGUUUGAUCUGCUUCAACCUGAUUAGGUUAUUUGGGAGUCGUACAAAAUUAUUAUGCAUACUUUGCCCAAUUUCUGUACGAAUAGUGAAAACAUAUGGCGAACAAUGAGUCCUUUCAUAUGUUUUCACAUUGGUGAGUGGCAUCUUCCUGAUAGGGUGAUGAGACAAUUCGGGUUUCAGCAGGAUGUCCCAUCGCCUUGUAAUACUGAACCCCUACAUGAUAUCAACUUAAGGACUAUAAAUUGAAAAAGUUGCACAUUUGGUAGUGCGAUGGCACUAUCGUGCAAGGUUUA